rnacentral:rRNA from 1 species
ACUCCUACGGGAGGCAGCAGUGGGGAAUAUUGCACAAUGGGCGCAAGCCUGAUGCAGCCAUGCCGCGUGUGUGAAGAAGGCCUUCGGGUUGUAAAGCACUUUCAGUCGUGAGGAAGGUAGUGUAGUUAAUAGCUGCAUUAUUUGACGUUAGCGACAGAAGAAGCACCGGCUAACUCCGUGCCAGCAGCCGCGGUAAUACGGAGGGUCCAAGCGUUAUCCGGAAUCACUGGGUUUAAAGGGUGCGUAGGCGGAUAACUAAGUCUAAGGUGAAAGUCUGUGGCUUAACUAUAGAAUUGCCUUGGAUACUGGUUAUCUUGAAUUGGGUUGAGGAUGGCGGAAUGUGACAUGUAGCGGUGAAAUGCAUAGAUAUGUCAUAGAACACCGAUUGCGAAGGCAGCCAUCUGGGCCUUGAUUGACGCUGAGGCACGAAAGCGUGGGGAGCGAACAGGAUUAGAUACCCUGGUAGGAUAG